rnacentral:rRNA from 1 species
UACGUAGGGUGCAAGCGUUAAUCGGAAUUACUGGGCGUAAAGCGUGCGCAGGCGGUGAUGUAAGACAGAUGUGAAAUCCCCGGGCUCAACCUGGGAACUGCAUUUGUGACUGCAUCGCUGGAGUGCGGCAGAGGGGGAUGGAAUUCCGCGUGUAGCAGUGAAAUGCGUAGAUAUGCGGAGGAACACCGAUGGCGAAGGCAGCCCCCUGGGCCGACAUUGACGCUCAGGCACGAAAGCGUGGGGAGCAAACAGG